CAUGAAGCCGGAAUUGCUAGUAAUGGCAGGUCAGCAUACUGCCGUGAAUACGUUCCCGGGCCUCGUACACACCGCCCGUCACACCAUGAGAGUUGGGAAUACCCGAAGCCUGUGAGCUAACAUUUAUGAGGCAGCAGUCGAAGGUAGAAUCAAUGAUUGGGGUGAAGUCGUAACAAGGUAUC
rnacentral:rRNA from 1 species